CAUCCAUCGAUCCCACCGAACCCUUCCAGAUCAAGAGAGAGCUUGCCUCCCCCCUUACAGAUCCCCGCCGCCAGCUCCCUCCAGCGGAGCUUGCCGCCAUCCAUGGCCUCCCCCACGCCCUCCUACUCUCGCCCCUCCCCUUCCCUUCCCGCAGCACGCGGAACACUCUCCUUCCUCGACCCCCUUCCUUACCGAGAACAUGCACCGCCACCUCGUUCUCCCCGAUCCAAAUCGACGAUGCUGGCCCUCACACCUCGCCGGCCCCGCUCGCCCAGACUACCCCUCCUCAGCCUCCCGUCCCCGGCGGCGCCCUCCUCUCUGCGCCCUCGCGUCCUCUCCCCUGCCCCGGCCCGCGCGAGGGUUGGCCUUGCUGACGCGUAGGGCUCGGACGGCAAGGGCGAGGGGGACGCUGGUGGGGCGGGAGGCCUCGUUGGGGAGGACUCGGUCGUGUUCCGGCUGGCCUACCAGUGGGUGGCGUCCUGGGCCUACUUUGCCGGGAUACUCUCCGUGGUGCUCUACAGGCUCAAUGUGCUCUGGAUCGACCCUCCACCGGGGCCGGGACUGGGUUCCUCACCGCCGUCGCCGCUGUCUCUAACAGCCCCGAGGUUAUGAUCAUCGACUAUGGGUUGAGCAUGGAAGAGGAGUGAGCACUUGCAUCGGAGGAAAUCCUAUUGACAGAACCUCAGCCUGUUGCUGAACUUCAAGUCAAGGCGGCGCACAAGGCGCUGCUCUUCAAGUCGAGGGAGUCGCUGACCGCGAGGAACCUGCACUCGGAGCUCGUCUACAACUACUCUGGCUUGAAGCAUAUUUGUAGAAGCUGUCGCUGCUGUAGGUGGAACAGGAAGAAGCCCUCAUGGCUGCUGCACAUCUGAAGUGGUGUUUUGUGUUCUGGAAGAUGGAAGAGGAAGAAAAGUUAUUUUUGUUGAACUAAUUUGUCUGUAUUCUGUUUUGUUGUACGUAUCAUUUGAUAGUUUUGUAUAGGAACAAGUGAUACUAUUUUGUACGGCUUUAUGGCCUAUGAUGUAAACAUAUUUAGUGCUGAAAUAUGAAAUUAUUUGCAAAAUUUGUCGAAAAG